CAGGAUUUUAGGGAACACCAGGAUUUUAGGGAACACCAGGUUUUAGGGAUCAGGAGCUUUUGGAGAACACCAGGACUUUGGAGAACACCAGGUUUUUAGGGAUCACGAGGUUUUAAGGAACACCAGGUUUUAGGGAACACCAGCUUUUAGGGAACAGCACAUUUUUGGGAACAUCAAGUUUUUGGGAACACCAGGAUUUUAGGGAACACCAGUUUUUUUGGGAA